rnacentral:rRNA from 1 species
UACGAAGGGUGCAAACGUUGCUCGGAAUUAUUAGGCGUAAAGCGCACGUAGGCGGCAUCGCAAGUCGGAUGUGAAAUCUUAUGGCUUAACCAUAAAAGUGCAUCCGAAACUGCAGUGCUUGAGUACUUAAGAGGAUCGCGGAAUUCCCGGUGUAGAGGUGAAAUUCGUAGAUAUCGGGAGGAACACCAGUGGCGAAGGCGGCGAUCUGGGAAGAUACUGACGCUGAGGUGCGAAAGCGUGGGGAGCAAACAGG